rnacentral:rRNA from 1 species
GACGAACGCUGGCGGCGUGCUUAACACAUGCAAGUCGUACGGUAAGGCCCUUUCGGGGGUCCACGAGUGGCGAACGGGUGAGUAACACGUGAGUAACCUGCCCACAACUUUGGGAUAACGCUAGGAAACUGGUGCUAAUACUGGAUAUGUGCUCCUGCUGCAUGGUGGGGGUUGAAAGCUCCGGCGGUUGUGGAUGGACUCGCGGCCUAUCAGCUUGUUGGUGGGGUAGUGGCCUACCAAGGCGGCGACGGGUAGCCGGCCUGAGAGGGUGACCGGCCACAUUGGGACUGAGAUACGGCCCAGACUCCUACGGGAGGCAGCAGUGGGGAAUAUUGCACAAUGGGCGCAAGCCUGAUGCAGCAACGCCGCGUGCGGGAUGACGGCCUUCGGGUUGUAAACCGCUUUCAGCAGGGACGAAGCUUUUUGUGACGGUACCUGCAGAAGAAGCACCGGCUAACUACGUG